rnacentral:lncRNA from 1 species
AUGCUUGGGGGGUCCAAAAGCUCAAAGCACUUUCUCUUCUUAUCUCAUCUCUGCAGGUCCACCCUUGCCCGUGGAAGCAGAUGGAAUGGAGAGGAAUUUCACCCUGGCCUCCUUCACACUAGCCCCGUGACUCAAAUGAAUGAAGAAGUGAAUCCAAACCUGGAAGUGGAUAUUUUUAAAAAAAGUCCCAUCAUCAUUUUGGGAGCUGAGAUGUCCAAGUGUCACAGAGGAGGAUUUCUCAAUGAGGAACUGACCAGCAAGGGAGAAAAAUACCCUUUACAAACACUUCCUGCUAGAAGUCAAAUGAGACCUGCAGGGGAUCUGAGUGGCUUCCAACUUACACAGCGCUACCUGAUAGAACAAUUUGUGCUGUUGGGCACCUGUCAUCACCUCCUGAGAGACAAGAGGCUGGAGGUGGAAAACAAGCUGCACACCAGGCUGCUGCCCCCCCCCCCCCCCGUCUCCCCUCACUAUGCUCCCCUGCGCCUGCGACUCACUCACUGAUGCUUGGAGUUCUGUGAACUGUGUCAUUCCGGCACUCUCUCACGAUGCCAGCUCACCUGUUUUCCAUCUGUAACAUUGCUUCCUGGAUAUUUGAAGUCAACCUGCUUUUUCAUUCUUAAAUAUGUAUCUUUGGCCUGGCGCACUGGCUCAUGCCUAUAAUCCCAGCACUUUGGGAGGCUGAGGUGAGAGGAUAGCUUGGGCUCAGGAGUUCAAAAUCAGGCUGGGCAACAUAGGAACACCCCCAUACCCCCAUCUGCGCGCGUGCACACACACACAGAGUUAUCCAGGCAUCGUGGUGCAGACCUGUGGUUCUAGCUAUGCAAGAAGGCUGAGGUGGGAGGAUCGCUUGGGCCCAGGAGGUGGAGGCUGCAGUGAGCCAUGGUCACACAACUACACUCCAGCCCGAGUGACAGAGCCAGACCACCCGCACCCUCUCUCUAUGUUUAACAGAAACUUCUCUGUUUUAAAUGUAAGCCCAACUCCCUUGUGAGUAACAAGUUGCUGUAAGUAUAAAUAUGUGAUUAUGAAAAUAAAAAAUUGUGUACAUCCUAAAGAAAUUUAAGGACACGCGUACAUGAAGUGUUAAUUAUACACAGUGCAACUGGAGUAAUGUGCAAAGGGCUUUGAGAUCAGUAUUUGCAUGUGAUGUUGGAAAAGACACAGGCUUUGAGGCCAGACACCUGGGUUUUGAUUCCUGCUCUGCCACUCACUGUGUAAGCUUGAACAAGUCUCUUAACCUCUCUGAACUUCGGAUUUCCUAUCUAGAUAAGAGAGAAUCAUAACUUCAUGUCCUUCCAGUGUAUGUACCAUACUUUGGGAAGCCCUGAGACAGCGAGUGCUGCCAGUGCUUGGGGAGCGUGUGUAGGCAUUGAGAUCCAGGUACAGCGUAUUUACGUGUGUGCAGCAACUGACUCUGAUUUAAUCCAAGCCUUCGGGACAGUUUGCAGAUGAAGCAGCCACGGGUUAAGGAGAGAUUAAGUGACUUCCCCAAAGUCCCUAGCCAGGAAACACUGUAAAUGGAGAUCGAGGUGGAGCAUUGGACCCCGGACCUGAGAUAUUUGGCAUGAUUGGCAGCAUUCAGCACACAGUGGUGGCCAAGAAAGAGUGUUUGAAUGAGGAAAGUGGCAUGUAGCAGCUGAAGGAAUGCCGAUUAAAAUGCAGACCUAAGAGUUCUGGAAUGUCUGUUUGAAUCAGUGGCUCUCCAGUGGCGGUCAUGAAGCUGCAGGUGGCUGGGCUGCAGGAACUCUCUCCCCUCCUCCUCGGGGUAGGUCGAGGGGCUCAUCCGAUGGAUGUUUAGUUUCUCCAUUUUUCCUUUCUCAAGAGCUGGUCCUUCCCCACCUUUUAAAUUGGGAUUUUUGAGUAAGAUUUCACUGGAGAGAGAAUAAAAUAUUAUUUUUUGUUAAGAGCAGGUUGGAAGAGCUCUGUUUUAGGUGACCUUCAAGAUCUCCCCUAAAUCUCAUUGGUCUUACAAUUGGAGUGUGAGCAUUUCUGCAUCUUGGUUAUAUAGUGUUGGAGAAGUUGGUCAGCAUUCUGAGUCUUCACUCCUUCAUCUGUAAAAUGGGCAUGAGGAGACAAACACUACUUACUUUGCAGGAAUAAGUAUGUGUGGAGUGUGUAUGUGAACGUGCCCUGAGAAGAGCAAAGGACUCUGCAGACUUGUGGGAUUAGUGAAUUUGUGUCAUCAUCAACUAUUUCUUGCAUGGCAUGUUUGAGUUGCAUCCUGGUAAGGGCUGGGGAUACACAGAACCACCAGACACACAGUCUGGGGGAAAAUAAGAAGCAUGGGUUGGCAGUCUCCUGGGAAAUAGGUAAAUGACCUGACAGUUUCAAUGAGAAAAUGAUGACUACCCCAAGGGAAGCAUGGUGGAGGGUCACAGACCCAGCCUGGGGUGACAGGAAGAGAGUGGGGUUGGUAGGAAAGUGACAUCUGGCAUGGAUCUUCAACGGGGAGCAAAAAUAAUAAUUACAUUGAGUCUAUAUAUGUGUAUUUUAUUCACACUCAGUUUUCUGCACCCAAAAUUAGGACUUGUGAGCUUUCACUUCUCCUUUCACAUGCACAGAUAAGAAAAUCUAGAAUCUAGAGAGGUGAGGUAUCUUUACGAAGGCCAGGAAGUUUAGGAGUCAGGUUGAGAUCUGGGGGCUCCUUGGGUAUCACAGACUCCGGCUUUGGAAUGGGAGCAGCAGUGUGUGCAGAGGCCAGGCCUAGAGGCCUGUAGUCUGAGGGCCAGGGUUUAAAUCCAUGACCGAUUUCAUCUAAUCAUGGUUACAUGUGUAUAUGUCAGUAAGCUGUGUGCUGAAGGUAUAGAGAGAAAUAGACCACUCUCCUUGCUUUAAGGACACAGGUACAUGAAGUGUUAAUUACACACAGUGCAACUGGAGCAAUGUGCAAAGUGCUUUGAGAUCAGUAUUUGCAUGCGGUGUUGGAAAAGACACAGGCUUUGAGGCCAGACACCUGGGUUUUGAUUCUCGUUCUGCCGCUCACUGUGUAACCUUGAACAAGUUCCUUAACCUCCCUGAACUUCAGUUUUCAUAUCUAGAUAAAGGAAAAUGAUAACCUACCUAUCAGCACUGAUAAAUACAGAGUAGACAAGAUACCACUGGUAAAGGACCUGGGUCAAUAACCUGGGACCAUCGUCACCAAGUGUAAGGGUUUGGAUGAGACAUUCAACUUCUUCAAUCUCGUGGGAACUUUGAAUGCUGUCACCAUACAAUAAGGUGAUGGAAGUGAAAUGUGCUUUGUAAAACUGUGACAGGUUGAGCAAAUGCCAGUUAUCACUCUUGGGAUUACUAGCCAGUCCUCAUUAGCAUAGGAAAGGUGAGCUAGCAGGGCGGUUGUCAAUGUCCAGGGGGUUCUGUGGGUCAGAAGCCAGGCCAGUCUCUCUGAUUUUAUGUCUCUUUCACCCACUACCCUUUUUGCCUUCAGACAUUUCCCUUCCAUGAUCUGAAACCUAACUGCACUCUGGACCGGGACCUGUAGCUCCUACUUGGUUUCUGUUAGCAAAGCCCUUCUCCUGGGAGAGGGACUCACCAUCAGGCCUGAGAAAGAAGUCAGGCGUGCUUGGAAUGCAAUUGCAAAAGCAGUUACAAAAGCCCCGCGAGAAUGCCGAAAUCAAGUGAUGUCGAGAGGUUUUGUUAUUUUUGAAAAAAUGACUCAUUCUGAGAAACCCUGACAGCCUCAGAACAUUCACCUAGUUGCUUGUAUGCAUAACCCGGAGCCCGCUGCAGAGGAAAACAAAUCCUGUUGUCACAGCUGGAGGAGGGGUGGUGGGGGC